GCACAAAAUUGAGUGUCGUCUUAUGCUGAAGAUGUGAUGAACAAAAAAAGGAAAGAAGAAAAGAAGGGAACACAGAUAGCAAGCAGCAAGUGAAUGGAAUACUGCACAUCUACCUAGCCAGCAAGGGGCGCUCUCAGGAGCCUAUACCAGGACCCCUGAGUCCCAGCCUGCAGUGUCACAUACUGCCCCACUCCGCUGCCAGCGUUACUGCUGCAGUAAUCCUUUACCCUCUUCCUCCUGUCUCUGUUAUCCACUCACCUUACUUCUAUUCAUUCAAGUUCAUAAGCCUGCAUUUUGGGACCCUGGCAGUAAGCACCUGCAAGCACUAAUGAAGGCAACAAUUCAUAACCAAGAUUGUCCUUCAGAAUCGUCUAAAGGAUUUCAGUACACACGUGGACCAGAAGUCCAAGCCAGAGCUCCCAGAGAAGAAUUUUCAAGGUAUGACGUGCAGGAUGUUUUGUUUUAAUUCAUGAUAAGGAAAUUUCAUUUUAAAACAAAUAAUCUGGGCAGUAUAUGAUCCACUGGAAAUCUGAAAAAAUAAAGAUCUAUGAUAUCAUUUAUAUGGGGAUCUA
rnacentral:lncRNA from 1 species